rnacentral:rRNA from 1 species
UACGGAGGGUGCAAGCGUUAUCCGGAUUCACUGGGUUUAAAGGGUGCGUAGGCGGGCAGAUAAGUCAGUGGUGAAAUACCUGAGCUUAACUUGGGAACUGCCAUUGAUACUAUUUGUCUUGAAUGUUGUGGAGGUUAGCGGAAUAUGUCAUGUAGCGGUGAAAUGCUUAGAUAUGACAUAGAACACCAAUUGCGAAGGCAGCUUACUUCACGAUCAUUGACACUGAGGCACGAAAGCGUGGGGAGCAAACAGG